UUACUAAUAGGUUAUGAAAUAAACUAAUAGAUUGUGGUUCUGUUGUAUACUUUUAGUAUUAGUAAA
rnacentral:tRNA from 3 species